rnacentral:lncRNA from 1 species
AGAAACUAACAUUACCCAAAUGAAAACAGAUGACGAUAAAGAUCAUUUCUUGAACAAUAUCUUCACAUCAUGGCUGGGCAAAGUGGAAAGAGACGGAAAACUGGAAUGUUCCAGACAUUGCAAAUAAGAAGAGUGAAGGAUGACAGAUCAAUUAGCUGAGAGAUAAAAAAUGAGAAGACUGGGGGGACAUUGGUACUGGAAAAUUUCACUUACCUGAGCAGCCAGGAUCCAGGGGAAGCUGACGUUGAAGAGAGGAUAAAUACAAAGUGUUUCCUGGUGCCUUUACUAAUGUGGCAAUAGAAAGAACAAGCUCAAGAAAUUCAAUCAAAGUUGCAGAUAAUAGCAACUUCCCAUUGCUUUAAAAAGUAAUAAUAACCACAACACACUAUGAGAUAAAGCUCCAGGAGAAACAAUAAAGAGAAGAAAUGCACCUUUGAGAGUUGGGGUUCUAAAUGGCAAUAAUCACUUGCCAAAGAUUAUCGUGUGACUAUUAGCCACAACUAUUCCUCAUCCAGCAAGAGCUGAGGAUCAUAAGGCCAUCAGAGAUUCAUCCUGUGUGAAAGGUGAGAUUGCAAUGCUCAAAUGCUUAUGAGGCCUGAGCCCCAUCACUAAGUUGAAAAGCAUUUAUUUUCUUAAAACUGAAUUAUCAAAUGUGGGAAGGGGCAUAAGGGGCUGCCUUAUUAGGAAAAACAUUCAUAAUGCUGGAUUUAGUUAAGUAGUGAACAGUUUUCAAUAUGCUCUGAAAUUAGAAAAACAAAAUGCUAAUUCUGUAAGGAAAUUAACUCAAAACCAGGAACAGCAAAUAUCAUUAUGAUGUUCAAUUGAAUACAUCGGUCAUGAAUGCUAACAUAAUUGAACGGAUGCAGAUAGGCUGCAGAAUUAUACGUUUCUCUCUAACUUUUCAUGGCCUGGUUUAUUAUUUUAUUUGAGUAAAUCAUGGCAAUGUAUGGUCUUCACACAUCCAAAGCCUUCUUGAAGCCAGGGUGUGCCCACUAGCAGGCAAGGCCUGUUGCAGCAUUGAAAU